AGAGUUUGAUCCUGGCUCAGGAUGAACGCUAGCUACAGGCUUAACACAUGCAAGUCGAGGGGCAUCAGGAAGAAAGCUUGCUUUCUUUGCUGGCGACCGGCGCACGGGUGAGUAACACGUAUCCAACCUGCCCUUUACUCGGGGAUAGCCUUUCGAAAGAAAGAUUAAUACCCGAUGGCAUAAUGAUUCCGCAUGGUUUCAUUAUUAAAGGAUUCCGGUAAAGGAUGGGGAUGCGUUCCAUUAGGUUGUUGGUGAGGUAACGGCUCACCAAGCCUUCGAUGGAUAGGGGUUCUGAGAGGAAGGUCCCCCACAUUGGAACUGAGACACGGUCCAAACUCCUACGGGAGGCAGCAGUGAGGAAUAUUGGUCAAUGGGCGAGAGCCUGAACCAGCCAAGUAGCGUGAAGGAUGAAGGCUCUAUGGGUCGUAAACUUCUUUUAUAUGGGAAUAAAGUUUUCCACGUGUGGAAUUUUGUAUGUACCAUAUGAAUAAGGAUCGGCUAACUCCGUGCCAGCAGCCGCGGUAAUACGGAGGAUCCGAGCGUUAUCCGGAUUUAUUGGGUUUAAAGGGAGCGUAGGUGGACUGGUAAGUCAGUUGUGAAAGUUUGCGGCUCAACCGUAAAAUUGCAGUUGAUACUGUCAGUCUUGAGUACAGUAGAGGUGGGCGGAAUUCGUGGUGUAGCGGUGAAAUGCUUAGAUAUCACGAAGAACUCCGAUUGCGAAGGCAGCUCACUGGACUGCAACUGACACUGAUGCUCGAAAGUGUGGGUAUCAAACAGGAUUAGAUACCCUGGUAGUCCACACAGUAAACGAUGAAUACUCGCUGUUUGCGAUAUACAGUAAGCGGCCAAGCGAAAGCAUUAAGUAUUCCACCUGGGGAGUACGCCGGCAACGGUGAAACUCAAAGGAAU
rnacentral:rRNA from 1 species